AAUGAACGUUGGCGGCGUGGAUUAGGCAUGCAAGUCGAGCGCUCAUAGCAAUAUGGGAGCGGCGAACGGCGUAGUAAUGCAUCGGAACGUACUCUUCGGUCGGGGAUAGCCACGGGAAACUGUGGGUAAUACCCGAUGAUAUCUGCGGAUCAAAGGUGAGAUUCCGCCGGAGGAGCGGCUGAUGUGAUAUUAGCUUGAUGGUGGGGUAAUGGCCUACCAUGGCGAUGAUGUCUAGGGGGUGUGAGAGCAUGGCCCCCACGACCGGAACUGAGACACUGUCCGGACACCUACGGGUGGCUGCAGUCGAGAAUCUUCCGCAAUGGACGAAAGUCUGACGGAGCGACGCCGCGUGCGGGAUGAAGGCCCUUGGGUUGUAAACCGCUGUCAGAGGGGAUGAAAUCUCCGGGGGUACUCCCCCGGAGUUGACAGAGCCUCAAAGGAAGCACGGGCUAAGUACGUGCCAGCAGCCGCGGUAAAGUCUAG
rnacentral:rRNA from 1 species